GCACCAGUGGUUAAGUGGUAGAAUAGAACCCUGUCAUGGAGUAGACCCAGGAUCGAUUCCCGGAUGGUGCA
rnacentral:tRNA from 1 species